rnacentral:rRNA from 1 species
AGUGAACGCUGGCGGUAGGCCUAACACAUGCAAGUCGAACGGCAGCACAGUAAGAUCUUGCUCUUACGGGUGGCGAGUGGCGGACGGGUGAGGAAUACAUCGGAAUCUACUUUUUCGUGGGGGAUAACGUAGGGAAACUUACGCUAAUACCGCAUACGACCUACGGGUGAAAGCAGGGGAUCUUCGGACCUUGCGCGAUUGAAUGAGCCGAUGUCGGAUUAGCUAGUUGGCGGGGUAAAGGCCCACCAAGGCGACGAUCCGUAGCUGGUCUGAGAGGAUGAUCAGCCACACUGGAACUGAGACACGGUCCAGACUCCUACGGGAGGCAGCAGUGGGGAAUCUUGCACAAUGGGCGCAAGCCUGAUCCAGCCAUACCGCGUGGGUGAAGAAGGCCUUCGGGUUGUAAAGCCCUUUUGUUGGGAAAGAAAAGCAGCAGGUUAAUCCCCCGCUGUUCUGACGGUACCCAAAGAAUAAGCACCGGCUAACUUCGUG